AAAGACAAAACAAUAGGCUCCUACAAUCCUAACCCCUGAUGAGAAGACUUUCUUAGAAAUCACUGAGGGCGGAGGAAUUCACAUAAACAAAUACAUUCUAAUGAUUCUCAGAUAGAAGCCCCGCUGAAGGUUAGCAAAU
rnacentral:sRNA from 1 species